rnacentral:rRNA from 1 species
UACGUAGGGUGCAAGCGUUAAUCGGAAUUACUGGGCGUAAAGCGUGCGCAGGCGGUUUUGUGAGUCUGUCGUGAAAGCCCCGGGCUUAACCUGGGAAUUGCGAUGGAGACUGCAAGGCUUGAAUCUGGCAGAGGGGGGUAGAAUUCCACGUGUAGCAGUGAAAUGCGUAGAGAUGUGGAGGAACACCGAUGGCGAAGGCAGCCCCCUGGGUCAAGAUUGACGCUCAUGCACGAAAGCGUGGGGAGCAAACAGG